rnacentral:rRNA from 1 species
GUAGGUGGCAAGCGUUGUCCGGAAUUAUUGGGCGUAAAGCGCGCGCAGGCGGUUCUUUAAGUCUGAUGUGAAAGCCCACGGCUCAACCGUGGAGGGUCAUUGGAAACUGGAGAACUUGAGUACAGAAGAGGAAAGCGGAAUUCCACGUGUAGCGGUGAAAUGCAUAGAGAUGUGGAGGAACACCAGUGGCGAAGGCGGCCUUCUGGUCUGUAACUGACGCUGAGGCGCGAAAGCGUGGGAGCAAACAGGAUUAGAUACCCUGGUAGUCCACGCCGUAAACGAUGAGUGCUAAGUGUUAGGGGGUUUCCGCCCCCCUUAGUGCUGCAGCUAACGCAUUAAGCACUCCGCCCUGGGAGUACGGCCGCAAGGCUG